GUGUUCACUUUGGCAGCACAUAUAUUAAAAUUGGAACAAUACAAAGAUUAUCAUGGCCUCUGCACAAGGAUGACAUGCAAAUUCAUGAAGUGUUUCAAUAUUUC